GCCGAGGUAGACGAAGUAGACGCUGGCGGACUUGGCCUGGUCCGACAGGUACACCCACGGCACCUCCGCCAGCACGUUGGCGAGGUUGAACCCGAGCGGGACCUUCGGCACGGCCCGCGGGAAGUAGCGGUUGAGCGGGUUGAACUGGACGAUCACGAACGCGAACGCCAGCCCGACCCAGAACGCGCCGCUGCGGAACAGCGGGUUGAGCGCCCGCCCCGGCGCCGGCGACUCGAUCAGCGACGCCUGCCCGUCGGCCAGCGGGAACGGCAGCCGCUCGUUCGCGG
rnacentral:misc_RNA from 1 species